GCUUAGCCAUAAACCUAGAUAGUAUUAAAACCCACUAUCCGCCAGAGAAUUACGAGCGAAAAGCUUAAAACUCAAAAGACUUGACGGUGUCCCAUAGCACCCUAGAGGAGCCUGUCCUACAAUCGAUAACCCACGUACCACCCAACCCACCCUCGCACACCCCAGUCUAUAUACCGCCGUCUACAGCCUACCUAAUGAUAGAAACAUAGUAGGCAAAACAGCUAUCACGCUAGAACGUCAGGUCAAGGUGUAACUAAUGGGCGGGCAGAGAUGGGCUACAUUUUCUAAACUAGACUACCACCAACGGCAACAUGAAAACUUAGGCCUAAAAGGAGGAUUUAGCAGUAAGUUGGACUACAACCCCCCAACUGAAGUCCGCUCUGGGACGCGU
rnacentral:rRNA from 1 species